rnacentral:lncRNA from 1 species
CAGGUCCGCACAAUGAGCACAUAUAUGGUAGCAGAUAUGAUGGCCUAAAGGGGGAUACAGGACUUCUUACCUUUUUAUGGCUGAAUAGUAUUCUGCUAUGCAUAUGGACUACAUUUCCUUUUUCUGUUCAUCAGUUGAUGGCCAUUUUGGUAUCCCCAUGUCUUGACUACUGGGAAUAGAGAUACAGUGAACAUAGGAAUACAGACUAAAGGAGUUAUUUUGGCCUACAGCUGAAAAGGAUGGCAUCAUAAUAGAAAUGAGAGUUGGAUGGAUUAUCAGAUAUAGAGAAAAAGUCAUCAUAUUAGAUAAUAAGUGGGAAUCCCAGAUGUCUGUCAAUCAGAUCCAUACCUCCAAGACAAAGAAAAUAAAAAUCAAAAUGCACAGAGAACAAUACUGAUUUUCAUUAUUGAAAUAUUCAAAUGGUGACUGGGUUGUCAAAUUCAUCAAAGAAAUUAUAUAUUGACUGUGACACAGCUUUAUUGAGACUGCUGAAAGUCCCCAGGGAAUAGAAGAUAAAAUCCCCUGCAGCUUGAACUACCGGAUUAGAAGGAAAUUUCUAAAUGAAACUUGCUAAUGAAGACAACACACUGCUGAGGAAAUAAUGGGAAAUUCAGUGUCGGCGGCUGAUACAACUAACUUGAAAUAAAGCAUUUUUGGAGUAGAGAAUAGUGAAAAGGUGGCAAAUCCCCAAAUCUGUAAGGGAAAUAGUUAAAUACAAGUUGCAUCCAGGGGCCAUUUAGCAUCCGGUGUUUUGGAUAUAGUUAAUAAAAAGGUAUAAGGAACAAUACCAGCCUUGGCACUAUAAAAAGCAAUCAAAC